rfam:Salmo salar isolate Sally breed double haploid chromosome ssa10, whole genome shotgun sequence.
CAAUGUUGUCUUUGUAAGUCACUCUGGAUAAGAGCGUCUGCUAAAUGACGUAAA